CGUGACGGCGCGAGCAGGUGCGAAAGCAGGUCAUAGUGAUCCGGUGGUUCUGAAUGGAAGGGCCAUCGCUCAACGGAUAAAAGGUACUCCGGGGAUAACAGGCUGAUACCGCCCAAGAGUUCAUAUCGACGGCGGUGUUUGGCACCUCGAUGUCGGCUCAUCACAUCCUGGGGCUGAAGUAGGUCCCAAGGGUAUGGCUGUUCGCCAUUUAAAGUGGUACGCGAGCUGGGUUUAGAACGUCGUGAGACAGUUCGGUCCCUAUCUGCCGUGGGCGCUGGAGAAUUGAGGGGGGCUGCUCCUAGUACGAGAGGACCGGAGUGGACGCAUCACUGGUGUUCGGGUUGUCAUGCCAAUGGCACUGCCCGGUAGCUAAAUGCGGAAGAGAUAAGUGCUGAAAGCAUCUAAGCACGAAACUUGCCCCGAGAUGAGUUCUCCCUGAGACUU
rnacentral:rRNA from 1 species